UACGUAGGGUGCGAGCGUUAAUCGGAAUUACUGGGCGUAAAGCGUGCGUAGGCGGUUCUCCAAGUCCGUUGUGAAAGCCCCGGGCUCAACCUGGGAAUGGCAGUGGAAACUGGCGAGCUGGAGUGUGGCAGAGGGGGGUGGAAUUCCGCGUGUAGCAGUGAAAUGCGUAGAGAUGCGGAGGAACACCGAUGGCGAAGGCAGCCCCCUGGGUUGACACUGACGCUCAGGCACGAAAGCGUGGGGAGCAAACAGG
rnacentral:rRNA from 1 species